CAAUAGCGUAUAUUAAAGUUGUUGCGGUUAAAAAGCUCGUAGUUGGAUUUCUGUUGAGGUCGGCCGGUCCCUACUUCGUAGGCGUAUCUGGUUCAGCCUUGGCAUCCUCCUAGGGAACGGCACUGCUCUUAACUGAGUGGUCCGGUAUCUAGGACUUUUACUUUGAGGAAAUUAGAGUGUUUACGGCAGGCAAUCGCCUUGAAUAUGUUAGCAUGGAAUAAUAAUAUAGGACCUUGGUUCUAUUUUGUUGGUUUCUAGGACUAAGGUAAUGAUUAAUAGGGAUAUUUGGGGGUAUUCGUAUUAACCGGUCAGAGGUGGAAUUCUUGGAUUCGGUUACGACGAACUACUGCGAAAGCAUUUGCCAAGGAUGUUUUCAUUGA
rnacentral:rRNA from 1 species